GAUGAACGCUGGCGGCGUGCCUAACACAUGCAAGUCGAGCGAUUCUCUUCGGAGAAGAGCGGCGGACGGGUGAGUAACGCGUGGGUAACCUGCCCUAUACACACGGAUAACGUACCGAAAGGUACGCUAAUACGAGAUAAUAUAAGAGAUUCGCAUGGAUUUCUUAUCAAAGCUCCGGCGGUAUAGGAUGGACCCGCGUCUGAUUAGCUAGUUGGUAAGGUAAUGGCUUACCAAGGCGACGAACAGUAGCCGACCUGAGAGGGUGAUCGGCCACAUUAGAACUGAGACACGGUACAAACUCCGACGGGAGGCAGCAGUGGGGAAUAUUGCACAAUGGGCGAAAGCCUGAUGCAGUAACGCCGCGUGAGCGAUGAAGGCCUUCGGGUCGUAAAGCUCUGUCCUCAAGGAAGAUAAUGACGGUACUUGAGGAGGAAGCCCCGGCUAACUACGUGCCAGCAUCCGCCGUAA
rnacentral:rRNA from 1 species